rnacentral:lncRNA from 1 species
AAAUAGUCAAGCUAGAGCCACCAAAUUAUUCCAAUUGGAAGAGGGAGUCAGAUCUCAAACUCCCGGCUAGAAGCCGGCGAGUUAAUUAGGUUAGUGAAUCACUCAACUAGAUUUGCUACGUCAGGGUAAUGGUGCGAUUAUGCAUUAUUUCAGAGUAAAUUAGCUGCCACGUCGUCAUCUGCCACUGUGCAUAAACAACUCGAAAUCCUUUUAGUUUUUUUCUCCCUUAGCGUUGGACCUAUUGACACUUCAAAU